rnacentral:rRNA from 1 species
GUGGGGAAUAUUGGACAAUGGGGGGAACCCUGAUCCAGCCAUGCCGCGUGUGUGAAGAAGGCCUUUUGGUUGUAAAGCACUUUAAGCGAGGAGGAGGCUACCGAGAUUAAUACUCUUGGAUAGUGGACGUUACUCGCAGAAUAAGCACCGGCUAACUCUGUGCCAGCAGCCGCGGUAAUACAGAGGGUGCAAGCGUUAAUCGGAUUUACUGGGCGUAAAGCGCGCGUAGGUGGCCAAUUAAGUCAAAUGUGAAAUCCACGAGCUUAACUUGGGAAUUGCAUUCGAUACUGGAUGGCUAGAGUAUGGGAGAGGAUGGUAGAAUUCCAGGUGUAGCGGUGAAAGGCGUAGAGAUCUGGAGGAAGACCGAUGGCGAAGGCAGCCAUCUGGCCUAAUACUGACACUGAGGUGCGAAAGCAUGGGGAGCAAACAGGAUUAGAAACCCGAGUAGUCC